rnacentral:rRNA from 1 species
GGGCCCGCACAAGCGGUGGAGUAUGUGGUUUAAUUCGAUGCAACGCGAAGAACCUUACCAGGGUUUGACAUCCUGCGAAUCUCUUGGAAACAGGAGAGUGCCUUCGGGAACGCAGUGACAGGUGGUGCAUGGCUGUCGUCAGCUCGUGUCGUGAGAUGUUGGGUUAAGUCCCGCAACGAGCGCAACCCACGUCUUUAGUUGCCAGCAUUUAGUUGGGCACUCUAGAGAGACUGCCGGUGAUAAACCGGAGAAGGUGUGGAUGACGUCAAGUCAUCAUGGCCCUUACGGCUGGGCUACACACGUGCUACAUGGCAAGUACAGACGGCUGCAAACCCCGCGAGGGAGCCAAUCCGACAAAACUUGUCGUAG